rnacentral:rRNA from 1 species
UACGGAGGAGGCAAGCGUUAUCCGGAAUUAUUGGGCGUAAAGCGUCCGCAGGUGGCUAUUCAAGUCUGCGGUCAAAGACUGGGGCUUAACCCUGGAAAGGCCGUGGAAACUGAAGAGCUAGAGUGCAGUAGGGGGUAGAGGGAAUUCCUGGUGUAGCGGUGAAAUGCGUAGAGAUCAGGAAGAACACCGGUGGCGAAAGCGCUCUGCUGGACCUUAACUGACACUGAGGGACGAAAGCUAGGGGAGCGAAUGGG